rnacentral:sRNA from 1 species
CGCUGCGCAUCUUGAUUCAUCACUUGGUCGCGAUGAACAGCCCCCACCUCUGCUCACCAGCAGAACUCCUUUGAAGUUUUGCCUUCCAUCCAUUCACAAUGGCGUCGUAGUCCUCCUGAAAAUAAGUGAAACAAAGAAUUUGAUAAUAUGGGAAUGCAGCCAGUGUAGCUCCAGAGGGGGAUUACCUGAUCGGUGCGGUCUUCAGCAAUGACAUCAUGGAAACCAGCAUUCUCAAGCAUCUGGAUAAUUUACCAAACAGAUGUCAUAACCCCUUUGCUUAAUGUAAGCUGCGAACUCUUCUGAAGGUUUCCCAGGGCACUUGCAGUAAUCACUAAUUAGGACCUUACCCCCAGGUUUGAGCCACUUGAAGAAACUUUUAAAUAGUGAGGGUUUAUCUUGUAUGUGAAGGAUAGUAUCACGACUGUAGAUGACGUCAAACGUGUUGUCUGGGUAUGUCUUUUUGGUGCAAUCAGCGACUUCAAACUCAACUGAGCACUUACGCCCAAUAGCACGCUCAAGUGCAAAAGAAACCAUGUUUAUCGAAAGAUCAAUACCAACAACAUGAACAUCAUACUUGUCAGCCAUAUAAAAAUCACCGCCCCCAAUUCCACAUCCAACAUCAAGAACGUUCUGGCCAGGUUUGAGAUCCAGCCUGUCCACAAAUUCUUUUGUAGUUUCUAUUCCACCAGUGCUCACAAAGCCUUCUCCAAAGAUGCGUUCAUAGCGUAAUAUUCCACUGGCUUUGUACUGCACAUUGUCCAAAAAUCUUUGAAACCCCCGAUCUUCUGUUGAAUCAACCUUUUGCCAUAGCCAACAUAUCUGGUUUUGAUUUUUCUUGCUUUUCACGUAAGCUCCAACACACUUGCAAGUAAGUACAGAGAGUUCAAAGGAAUUCCCAUCUUGAUCAAGAGCUUGACACUCUUUAAACACCUUAGUGUAAAACCUUGGCUCCCGGUAAUGUGUAGGAUUCACUUUCCUUUUUGAAUCUCCAGACUGAUGGAAACAAGAUUCCCUAAAGAAGAUAUAGCCGCCAACCUUUAGCCAUCUUACCAUUCUCUUUACUAGCUUCUCAACCUACAGUAACAGUAUGAAUACAUCAGUAACCAGUUUGAAAAUAUCAGAUCAAUGGAGUUAUCCUCAAUCAUCAGGUCUGGACAUGUGACAUCCGCACACAUAAAGGAUGCAUUCUUGUGGUGACCAUGUGAAUGUUAAACCUUCUUAAUCACACUUUCAAUGAAAUCCAUUGCAAGAACAUGCCCAGCUGUUUUCACUAGUUCUCCAGUGAAGCGACCUAUUCCAGCACCAAGUUCCAGUACUGAUUUUCCUUCGUAAGGAGGAAG